GGGUGAGUAACACGUGAGUGACCUGCCUUUANGACUGGAACACUUUACCGAAAGGUGAGCUAAUGCCGGAUGAGUUAUAUAAGUGCAUGUUUAUAUAGGAAAAGUUGGGGAGACCUGACGCUGAAAGAUGGACUCGCGUCCCAUUAGCUAGUUGGUAGGGUAAUGGCCUACCAAGGCGACGAUGGGUAGCCGGCCUGAGAGGGUGGCCGGCCACACUGGGACUGAGACACGGCCCAGACUCCUACGGGAGGCAGCAGUGGGGAAUUUUGCGCAAUGCUCGUAAGAGUGACGCAGCGACGCCGCGUGAAUGACGAAGGCCUUCGGGUCGUAAAGUUCUUUCGACAGGGAAGAAAAUGCCUAUAAGUAACUGUGUAUGUAUUGACGGUACCUGUAUAAGCAGCCCCGGCUAACUCCGUGCCAGCAGCCGCGGUAAUACGGAGGGGGCGAGCGUUGUUCGGAGUGACUGGGCGUAAAGAGCACGUAGGCGGUGUUGUAAGUCAUUAGUCAAAGACUAGAGCUCAACUUUAGUAAGGCUAGUGAUACUAUAAUACUAGAGUAUCAGAGAGGAUUGCAGAAUUCCUGGUGUAGCGGUGAAAUGCGUAGAUAUCAGGAGGAAUACCGUUAGCGAAGGCGGCAAUCUGGCUGGAAACUGACGCUGAGGUGCGAAAGCGUGGGUAGCAAACAGGAUUAGAUACCCUGGUAGUCCACGCUGUAAACGAU
rnacentral:rRNA from 1 species